rnacentral:rRNA from 1 species
UAUGUGAUCGUCUCUCGCAUAUCAAUAAGCGGAGGAAAAGAAACUAACAAGGAUUCCCCUAGUAACGGCGAGUGAAGCGGGAAGAGCUCAAAUUUGAAAUCUUAAAGGGUUUCCCUUUACGAAUUGUAGUUUAAAGAAGUGUUUUCUGUUGAGGUUUUGGUAAAAGUUCUUUGGAAUAGGACAUCAUAGAGGGUGAGAAUCCCGUAUUUGACCUUUACUUUCAACUUUGUGAUACACUUUCAAAGAGUCGGAUUGUUUGGGAAUGCAGUCCAAAAUGGGUGGUAAAUUUCAUCUAAAGCUAAAUAUUGGCGAGAGACCGAUAGCGAACAAGUACCGUGAGGGAAAGAUGAAAAGAACUUUGAAAAGAGAGUUAAACAGUACGUGAAAUUGUCAAAAGGGAAGCGUUUGACACCAGUGUUGUUUUUCUGAAAAUCAAUUAAAGAACUGUUUAUGCUAAGUCGUUUAGACUUUAUCAGCUAACUGUUUAGUUUUGAGCUUUUCUUUAAUGCACUUUUCAGUUAACAAGUCAACAUCAAUUUCUUUUGCUGUAAAAAAGCUUGAGGAAGGUGGCUUGAGAUUCGUCUUAAGUGUUUAUAGCCGUCUUGCCUAUGCAGUCGGAGAGAUUGAGGUCUGCAGCGUAGAUCCUUCGGGGCUAAAUGCAUUUGUGCUAAGUUAUAACAUUUUAUAGACAACUUGUUGACUAUGAUUUGUCUUGUAGCUUACUCGCUUAUGUUAUUUUACCUACGCUUAGGAUGUUGAAGUCAUCGUAUCGCGC